GUUCUCUGCCGAUCAGGAGGGGCGCUUCCGGCGAGGCCCGAUUUCGGGGCCCCUCCAAGCCACUCCCCUCUCCCCGCACCUCUUAACCCUUCAUCCCGGCUCCGAGCUCGGCUGGGUCGCCUCUUGCCUCCCUGGCUCUGCUCUCUGGGGUCUCCGUAAUGGGGCUCCUCUCAGGGGAUGCCCUGCAGCUCCCGUAUGGGCUUCCCCUCCGCUUCGUGGGACCAGCCCAGCCCGAGCCCCCGCGGCUUGUCCUCAACCUCAUCUCCCCACACCCCGCCUUCGGCUAGGGUCCUGGCCCUAAUCUUAGCCUGGAGGGGUGGGUGAAGCAGCCGGCCUUUCAUAUCCUGGCGGCACCGUCUUGUAUAUUGUGAAGGAGAGGCAGAGGGACGAACCUCUGGAUGGACUCUUCCUGGGAAGCUUUGCUACUUUGCAGCAGCUGGACCAUGUUCCUCAUUAACAUCUGUCUGUCAGCUUAGUCGUCACAUCAUUUCACUGUGGUGGCAGGGACUCAGCUCGGAAUUCUGUAUAGAAAAAGCACCU
rnacentral:sRNA from 1 species